UACAGAGGUCUCAAGCGUUGUUCGGAUUCAUUGGGCGUAAAGGGUGCGUAGGUGGCGCGGUAAGUCGGGUGUGAAAUCUCGGAGCUUAACUCCGAAACUGCAUUCGAUACUGCCGUGCUUGAGGACUGGAGAGGAGACUGGAAUUUACGGUGUAGCGGUGAAAUGCGUAGAGAUCGGGAGGAACACCAGAGGCGAAGGCGGCUCGCUG
rnacentral:rRNA from 1 species